AGCGCAGACGGUUAUUUAAGUCUGAAGUGAAAGCCCUCAGCUCAACUGAGGAAUUGCUUUGGAAACUGGAUGACUUGAGUGCAGUAGAGGAAAGUGGAACUCCAUGUGUAGCGGUGAAAUGCGUAGAUAUAUGGAAGAACACCAGUGGCGAAGGCGGCUUUCUGGACUGUAACUGACACUGAGGCUCGAAAGGCGUGGGGAGCAAACA
rnacentral:rRNA from 1 species